GACGAACGCUGGCGGCGUGCCUAAUACAUGCAAGUAGAACGCUGAAGAGAGGAGCUUCCUCUUCUUGGAUGAGUUGCGAACGGGUGAGUAACGCGUAGGUAACCUGCCUUGUAGCGGGGGAUAACUAUUGGAAACGAUAGCUAAUACCGCAUAACAAUGGAUGACACAUGUCAUUUAUUUGAAAGGGGCAAUUGCUCCACUACAAGAUGGACCUGCGUUGUAUUAGCUAGUAGGUGAGGUAAUGGCUCACCUAGGCGACGAUACAUAGCCGACCUGAGAGGGUGAUCGGCCACACUGGGACUGAGACACGGCCCAGACUCCUACGGGAGGCAGCAGUAGGGAAUCUUCGGCAAUGGGGGCAACCCUGACCGAGCAACGCCGCGUGAGUGAAGAAGGUUUUCGGAUCGUAAAGCUCUGUUGUAAGUCAAGAACGGGUGUGAGAGUGGAAAGUUCACACUGUGACGGUAGCUUACCAGAAAGGGACGGCUAACUGCGUG
rnacentral:rRNA from 1 species